rnacentral:misc_RNA from 1 species
CAAAAUCGUUUAAAGUGGAGAAAUAAAAUCCAUAUAACCGACCCCAAAUAUUUGGGAUAAAUGCUUAGUGGAGUAGAGUUGAGUUGAGUAUUAAAGUUAUGCCAUGUCAGCGAUAACAUAUAAAAUAAUAAUAUUUUUAUUACGUCAACCGCUAUGUCAUCAAGAAUAUAAAAGUUCGUGCCACGUCAGCAGCAACAUAUUAAAAAAUAAUAUGUUAUUCAUGACAACCGCCAUGUCAGCGCUUCUAAAUCCCUAAUUUUGACCAGGCCAUAAUAAAUACUGUACUUUCAAACUAGGCCAAAAUUGACCCAAAAAAAGAAGUUUUAGCUAUAAUUGAAAAAACGUGUAAAGUUUUGGAUUUUUUUUUUGAAUAUUAGGCCUUUACUUUAUUAAUUA